CGCAUUGUUAUUCUCGAUUUUCGCGUGUGUUUACUUUGUUGUGAUCUGUGGUGCCUUUAUGUAUAUACGUUACAGUUUGCUCUUCAAGAACUUGAAGAAAACCAUGGUCUUCCCGGUGCAGCUGCAGCCACCACGUUCCUGUAUCCUUCGGAUGCCAGUCCGCACUAAGCCCGAUUCUUAUUGGCAAACAAUUUUAUCGCGGCGCAGUUGGUUUUGUUUUUGCUAUUGUUGUUCGCUUAUUUUGUUGUUGCUUUUAUUUGUUUUGUUUUGCGGCUGCGGCGGAUAUUUAAUUGUUUUGUUGUGCUGUCGUUGCCGCCAAACAGCUGAUUCGCUGGGUUUUACGCUCAAUUUCGAAUCGCGACUGGGGAAAAUCAAUAAUAGUAACAUUUACUGAAAUUUUUGUACUUGUUUUUGUGCUUUUGCCAUAAAAUUGAGUUAAAACGAAGUGUUUACAUUCCAGUCAAUAUGGUUGACUAAUUGUAACCGAAUGCAUAUUAAAUGCUAAUUUUGAUUUUGGGCCCAACUUAUUUAGCAUCUAGGAAGUACUUUUAAUUACUUGCAACACGUAAUAUGCAUUUAAGUCAAACAUUAAAUCUCAUACAAGUUGACUAAUUUCAUUUUAAAAAUUUCCUUUUACAAUUUUUAUCAUCGAGAUAUCUGCCCCGCGCCUUUCGAGAAUUCUGUUUUAAAUUUAGCUGAUUUAUUAAGUAAACUCACCUGAAAGCUGUUUCAAGUUCGUAUUGUAUAAGUAAAAAAACUGCAGCUGACGAAAACUCAGCAACUGGAUCUCAAGAGUCUGCAGUCUGCUACCUUUCUAAGCCAGGCUUCCAAAAUUAACAUGUAAUUCAAGAACCAAGCAAAGAGCCGUGUAUCUGACUUACAAGAGGAUGUCAUAAGCAGAGAUCAAAACAAACAUGAUUUACAUGGGUUUUCUUAAAAAAAAAACUUGUAUAUCUUAAAACAUUGUAACAAGAACUUGCGAGGUAUUUUAAGUCAUGAGACCUUAUCUGUAUUUGCUAUAUUA